UCACGCCUUCUGACCCCCUG
rnacentral:miRNA from 1 species